GAGAGAGGCAUGUAAAGCGUCAAAGACUGCUAAUCUUUACCACCAGGGUUAAACUCCCUGGCUCACUCG
rnacentral:tRNA from 1 species